rnacentral:rRNA from 1 species
UGCGGAGGAUGCAAGCGUUAUCCGGAAUGAUUGGGCGUAAAGCGUCCGCAGGUGGCUGUGUAAGUCUGCUGUUAAAGAGUGAGGCUCAACCUCAUAAAGGCAGUGGAAACUACAUGGCUAGAGUGCGUUCGGGGCAGAGGGAAUUCCUGGUGUAGCGGUGAAAUGCGUAGAGAUCAGGAAGAACACCGGUGGCGAAAGCGCUCUGCUAGGCCGCAACUGACACUGAGGGACGAAAGCUAGGGGAGCGAAUGGG